CUACGGGGUGCACCAGAGAGGAAUAUUGCACAAUGGGGGGAACCCUGAUGCAGCAACGCCGCGUGGAGGAUGACGCAUUUCGGUGUGUAAACUCCUUUUAUAUGUCAAGAAAAUGACGGUAGCAUAUGAAUAAACACCGGCUAACUCCGUGCCAGCAGCCGCGGUAAUACGGAGGGUGCAAGCGUUACUCGGAAUCACUGGGCGUAAAGGACGCGUAGGCGGGUUGGAAAGUCAGGUGUGAAAUCCUACAGCUUAACUGUAGAACUGCACUUGAAACUUCUAAUCUAGAGUAUGGGAGGGGGAGAUGGAAUUAGUGGUGUAGGGGUAAAAUCCGUAGAUAUCACUAGGAAUACCUAAAGCGAAGGCGAUCUCCUGGAACAUUACUGACGCUAAGGCGUGAAAGCGUGGGGAGCAAACAGGAUUAGAUACCCGGGUAGUC
rnacentral:rRNA from 1 species